CCUACGGGCGGGCAGCAGUGGGGAAUAUUGGACAAUGGGGGGAACCCUGAUCCAGCCAUGCCGCGUGUGUGAAGAAGGCCCUCGGGUUGUAAAGCACUUUCAGUGAGGAAGAACGCCUGGUGGUUAAUACCCAUCAGGAAAGACAUCACUCACAGAAGAAGCACCGGCUAACUCCGUGCCAGCAGCCGCGGUAAUACGGAGGGUGCGAGCGUUAAUCGGAAUUACUGGGCGUAAAGCGCGCGUAGGUGGCUUGAUAAGCCGGUUGUGAAAGCCCCGGGCUCAACCUGGGAACGGCAUCCGGAACUGUCAAGCUAGAGUGCAGGAGAGGAAGGUAGAAUUCCCGGUGUAGCGGUGAAAUGCGUAGAGAUCGGGAGGAAUACCAGUGGCGAAGGCGGCCUUCUGGACUGACACUGACACUGAGGUGCGAAAGCGUGGGUAGCAAACAGGAUUAGAUACCCCAGUAGUC
rnacentral:rRNA from 1 species